CGAAAAAAAAACCGAGUAAGG
rnacentral:piRNA from 1 species